GAUGAAGAACGCAGCGAAAUGCGAUAAGUAAUGUGAAUUGCAGAAUUCAGUGAAUCAUCGAAUCUUUGAACGCACAUUGCGCCCCUUGGUAUUCCGGGGGGCAUGCCUGUUCGAGCGUCAUUAUCACCCCUCAAGCUCAGCUUGGUGUUGGGGCCUGCCGUCAAGGCAGCCCUUAAAAUCAGUGGCGGCGCCAGCUGGCUCUAAGCGUAGUAAUACUUCUCGCUACAGGGUACCGGUGGUGUCUUGCCAGAACCCCUCAUUUUUUAUGAUUGACCUCGGAUCAGGUAGGGAUACCCGCUGAACUUAAGCAUAUCAAUAAGCGGAGGA
rnacentral:misc_RNA from 1 species